CUUGAUGGACCCGAGCCACAGCGGGGUGUCCGUGGGGCGGUCCUGGCCGUAGGUGGCCAGCAGCGCCUGGGCCUC
rfam:Streptomyces yokosukanensis strain DSM 40224 genomic scaffold PRJNA299221_s047, whole genome shotgun sequence.